rnacentral:lncRNA from 1 species
AGGCGGGGCAACAAAGCCUGUGGCCGAUGUGGCGCUCCUCGGCCCGCGCUUCAGUGGUUAUGACAGUGUUCGCUCUAAGGGGAGAAGGAAUGUGUGACCAUUUCCAACGGUUAACUUGCAUUCCCCAGAUAGUUUGGAUGAGUUACAACCUAAAUCUGCAAACUCAAUACAGCCAGACCCUGGGAAGUGACUCUCUCCAAGCCUCCUGUAACUUCACCAUAAUACCGGUUAAUGUGAUAAAAACACUGCAUGUAGCCAAUUUUUUUUUUUUUUGAGAUGGAGUUAUUGGCUCUUGUUGCCCAGGCUAGAGUGCAGCGGCGUGAUCUUGGCUCACUGCAACCUCCAUCUCGUGGGUUCAGGUAAUUCUCCUGCCUCAGCCUCCCGAGUGGCUGGGAUUACAGGCACACGCCACCAUGCCCAGCUAAUUUUUUUGUAUUUUUAGUAGAGUCGGGGUUUCACUAUAUGUUGGCCAGGCUGGUCUCGAACUCCUGACCUCAGGUGAUCCGCCUGCCUCAGCCUUCCAAAGUGCUGGGGUUACAGGUGUGAGCCACUGCACCCAGCCAAAUAUUUUCUUAUUUAUUUAUUUAUUUUAGAGACAGGAUGCCAUUAUGUUGCCUAGUUUGGAAUGCAGUGUCUAUUUAGAGGCGUGAUCAUGGCAUACUAUAGCCUCGGCUCAAAGGACCCUGGUCUCAAAGGACCCUGCCACCUUAGCCUCCUGAGUAGCUGGGACAAGUGUGCGCCACCACACCUGGCUAAUUUUUUAAAUUUUUUGUAGAGAUAGUGUCUCGCUAUGUUGCCCACGCUGGUCUGGAAUUCCUGGACUCAAGGCCUCUUCCUGCCCUCAGACUUCCAAAGUGUUAGGAUUACAGGGUGAGUCACCACGCCCAGCCAGUGUGAAUUUUCUAAUGCUGAGUAAGUUGUGAUCCAGAAGUAAAUGUAUCUGCAAGCUGAUUUAAAUUGUAGAUUUUCUCUUCAUUGCAUAUUUUCUGAUGUUGAAUAAAGUCUGAGUAU